rnacentral:lncRNA from 1 species
AAUUACUGUGGAUUCAUUAUUAUUCGUUGGAUACCAAUUUUCGUGGAUUUCGUGGGUACAAGUGUACCACGAAAUUAAAUGUUCAACGAAUGACAGAUUUUAUAUAGGCUUGUAUGCAGACAUCCGCAAAACCACGAAAUUAAAUAUCCACGAACAUGCAGGUUUUCCUUAAUCCACAAAAAUUGGUACCCACGAAAAUAAAUGAAUCCACAGUA